GACGAACGCUGGCGGCGUGCUUAACACAUGCAAGUCGAACGGUAAGGCCCUUCGGGGUACACGAGUGGCGAACGGGUGAGUAACACGUGGGUGAUCUGCCCUGCACUUCGGGAUAAGCCUGGGAAACUGGGUCUAAUACCGGAUAGGACUCCGGACUGCAUGGUCUGGGGUGGAAAGCUCUUGCGGUGUGGGAUGGGCCCGCGGCCUAUCAGCUUGUUGGUGGGGUGAUGGCCUACCAAGGCGACGACGGGUAGCCGUCCUGAGAGGGUGACCGGCCACACUGGGACUGAGAUACGGCCCAGACUCCGACGGGAGGCAGCAGUGGGGAAUAUUGCACAAUGGGCGCAAGCCUGCUGCAGCGACGCCUCGUGAGGGAUGACGGCCUUCGGGUUGUAAACCUCUUUCAGCACAGACGAAGCGCAAGUGACGGUAUGUGCAGAAGAAGGACCGGCCAACUACGUGCCAGCCGCCGCGGUAA
rnacentral:rRNA from 1 species